rnacentral:tRNA from 1 species
GGAGAGGUGGCUGAGUGGUCUAAAGCACGGCUUUGCUAAAGCCGCGUAGGGGAAACCUUACCGCGGGUUCGAAUCCCGCCCUCUCCG